UGUGUUGUGGGAACUUAUUCUUUUAUUCAAUAAAAUAUUGUACAAAUGUACCAAAAGAGGAACUAUGGCUUCUAUAAUUUUUUUUUCUUUAGACCAACCUCAAGUUCUUGCAGCAAAAUUUCUUUACUUGAUGUGCUACAAGUGAACUAGGGUCUUUAAAAUGUAUUUUAGAAUUUUUUUUCCAACAUGCUUCUUCCCUUGCAACAGGUACCGUUUUGCAGAGAUUCGCUACCAUCGCCCUGAGGAGACCCACAAGGGGCGUACAGUUCCAGCUCAUGUGGAGACAGUGGUUUUAUUUUUCCCGGAUGUUUGGCAUUGCCUUCCCACCCGCUCAGAGUGGGAAACCCUCUCCCGAGGAUACAAGCAGCAGCUGGUCGAGAAGCUUCAGGGUGAACGCAAGGAGGCUGAUGGAGAACAGGCACUGAACGCUAAUCCCUUUUUCUAUUUCCGCUUCUCACAGGCACAGGAACACAGGCACAAAUGCACACCACACACUACAUAACAAACACACAUGGAGGAACAUAAGUGGUAACAGCGACUGGUAAUCCAGCUUUCAGCAGUAUAGUUGAAUGUUCUUUUCUCUUAAAAAUUCUGUCUAUUAUGCUAACGUUGAGAGUGUUGAGACCUCAAAGGAAAAUAAGUUGUGCUUAAAUUGCACAGAAUUUUGUUUCUAUCAUAGAUCUAGUUGCUGGAAUCUGGGACCAGUUGUUGAGCAAGAUUAAGUAUUAAGCCAUUUUAAACAUUUUGCCAUUUUCUAAAAUUUAAAAGAUUUUCUCUUUCAUGGUCAUCAGUUCUAGUCAUGGAUAUUUGAAAUUGGACAACCACAAGUCUGAGAGAUUUGAAAUUUCAGGCUAUGUGGCAACGUCUUUGGUACAUUUCAAAGGUCUGACUAAAUCAGUCUUUGGGUGGCUUGAAAAUUGGGGCAAGAUCACACACUGUGUGGUUAGUGGAGACCGGCAGUGUUUGUGCAUCCCUGAUAUCCUUUGUGUUGUAAUUUAUCACCCUUUUGUGUUUCACAGAUCUGGCUUUGAUUGGCUGAUGAGUGUCUUUGUGAUCAGUUAAAAAUGAUAGAAUGUAUGUACGUGGACUUGCCUAAAUAAUAACUUUAGGAGAAGACAAUCUGAAACAUUUGUGACCUUGCACAGAUCAGCAACAGACUUUUAAAAGUGAAUUAAAUUUAUUUUAAGGUUUCAAAAUAGUAAUUAUGUUCUUAACUUUGUAUAUUAGGAUGAAGAAGAAAAGGAUGAUGGUGAAGCUAAAGAAAUUUCCACUCCUACCCAUUGGUCUAAACUUGAUCCAAAGACAAUGAAGGUAACUUUGAAAAUUAUGGUUUUUAAUUUGAAAUCUCUUUAACAGGAAUACAUAACAUUGGUGAGAAUGAUGGUAGUAUGUUUUUCAAAUAAAAACCAUUCAAAAUGAAGUCUGUCUUGGCACCAUUUGGAAUCCCAGGUUCUUUGGAGGCUGAGGCAAAUUUGAGGCCAGCCCAGGUAAUUUAGCAAGACCCUUCCUCAAAUAAAUAACAAGGGCUGGAGAUUUAGCUCAGUGGGGUAAAGUCCACUUUUUUUUUUUUGGAGUUUGUCCCAGGCCCUUGUGUGCUAUACAACCACUGUACCUCUGAGCUACAUCCCCAGCCCUUUUUAUUUUAUUCUGAGACAGGAUCAUGCUACAUUGUCCAGCCUGGCCUCGAACUUGUGAUCCUCCUGCCUCACCCUGCGCCAUCAGGUCUGGCUGUUCACUGAUUUUAUAUAACUAUAAUAUAUUGCAUUUACCUGUGAAUAUAUACAUACAUGUAUAAAUUAAAAAGUGAUGUUAAAUAUCAGUCUAGCUAGUACCUGUAAAAUGCUUGCAAUUUCAAAGUACCUGUAAUAUCAGGAAUAUUGUUUUCUGGUUCAGUAAUUGACCAAGAAGGCAGAAUUUAUCACUGGGCACAGUGGCACAUGGCCUGUGUAAUCCCUGUGGCUUGGUAGGCUGAGGUAGGAGGAGCACAAAUUCAAAGCCAGCCUAAGCAACUUAGUGAGACCCUGUCUCAAAAUAAAAUAUAAAAAGGGUUAGAGAUGUGGUUCAGUGGUUAAGUACCUCUGGAUUCAAACCCUGGUACCAAAAAAAAAAAAAAAAAGGAGGUGGGAGGCGCCAGAAUUCUUACACUUAUGGGGCUGGAGUUGUGACUCAGUGGUAAAGCACUUGCCUUGCAUGUGUGAAGCACUGGGUUCAAUGUUUAACACCACAUAAAAAGAAAUAAACAAAAUAAAGGUAUUGUAUCCAUCUACAACUAAAAAAUAAAAAUUUAAAAAAGAAUAUUAAAAGAAAUAAUUUCUAAACUUACGUAACUUAAAUUCAGGGGUCAGAAAAGAAACAGGAAAAAGAUGAACUUGUUUUAAAAAUAAAUUUAAGAGUAAAAUGUAGAAUGUAUGCCUCUAAACUGGGAAGGAAAUAAUUUAAUAAUUUCUUUGAAAAUAAGUGGUUAACCUGCGUUAGUUUUUUCUUCUGGGUGUCUCUAGCCCAGUUAUCUUAGUAUUCUUUCUGCUGUUUUGUAUUUCCGAACUAUAGUCUAUGGUCAAGAUAGAGACUGAUCUUUACUUCGCCUUUUACAGUUUGUUUUUAGCAAAUGCCUUCUAGUUGACUUUUGCUCUUAGCACAAAACAAUUUUUCUACUUAGUUAGGAACAAUUUCUUUCUGGAUUUUUGUUGUUUUGUGUUUGUGGGGUUUUGGGGGGUUGGGGGGAGACUGAUUUUUUUUUUUUUUCUUUUAGUACAUAGGAUUGAACCCUGGACUACUCUAUCACCACAUUAUAUCCCCAGCACUAAUUUCAUUUUAUUUUGUUGUUUGGGUUUUUAAGAGUUAUAACACAUCUCACUUAGUGUUGAAUUUGGCCUUGACUUGUGAACCUGUUAUCUCAGCCUCCUAAGUCCUAAGUAGCUGAGGUUACAGGACCUAGCAAGGCUUGAACCUUGACUUUAAACUCAUUGGUUUUUAGUAUGUAGACAUUGUAUGUCAUAAGAAUGUUAUUUGUUGAGAGCCACAGUUUAGUCAGAAUGAUGCCUGGCAUUUUUGCCAGAGGGAAUGGUUGAAAGAUGACCCUGCCCCGGAUUAGGGCAGAUCCUGCUGGGAAUAGGGCAGCUCCAGGAUUAGGGCAGAUCCUCCUGGGAUUAGGGCGGAUCCUGGUGCCUUGGGCACUACUUUGGAGUUCCCAUUGAGUUCUCUUGGGGUUCUCAGAGAAUUGGCGCGCAGAGCAGUGUGUUCCCGGGAAGUGUGUGUAGAGUGCAGGUGAGAGUUCGGGAAUAAAGGUUGCUGUUUGAACCUACAAGGCUGUGUGCCCAGCCAGACUGCGGCAGUUAUUCUUUAAUUGCUUCCAAGUUGUCAUCGUCAAUAUCAGGUUCAUAUAGGGUACUCAAAAGAUUAUGAAAACAUUGACAAUAAGACUAAGACUAUACCCAACACUUUUUAAUUUAAACUUGAUUGUUUUGAUGUUAAGUUCUAUAUUUUAUUUUUAUUUAUUUAUUUUUUUGGUACUGAGAAUUGAACCCAGGGCCACUUUACCACUGAACUACAUUCCAUAGUCCUUUUUAAUUUUUUAUUUUCAAAUAGUCUUGAUAAGUUGUAUAGGGUCUUGCUAAGUUGCCUAGGGGUGCCUUGCCUCGACCUUGGGUUCCUCUUACCUCAUUCUCCCAUGGAGCUAGCAUUAUAGGUGUGUGCCACCACAUCCAGAUUCUGUUUUCUUUUUUGUAGGAUAUAAGUAAUGUAUUUAGUUGGUUGGUUGGCUCAAAUCAAGUUGUAUUUAAAAGUUGCAUUUUAAUCAUUUUCAUUUAACAUCUUUUUUUCUCAUGUAAUUGUUUUUCAAUUUUACAUUAUAUGUGGUUUAUGUAUUAAUACUUCUUAGAUAUUGCUUUUUAUUGAAUGUGCAGAUUCUUUACUUUUUUGAAGUGAAGGACUGUUGUAAGUAAAUCUAACAAGGUAUGCUGGUGCAACUCUGUAAUCCCAGUGACUUGGGAAACUCUGCAGCAGAAGGAUUACAAAUUCUAGUCCAGCCUCUGAAACUAAGUGAGACCCUAUCUCAAAAUAAUGUGAAAAAAGGGCUUACCUAAUACCCAAAAAGGUCCUGUGUUCAAUUCCUAGUAUUUCCAAAAAAAGGUUAAUAAUUAGUAAAUCUGUUUUUCUCCCUGAGUUCAGGAUAUUUCAUACACACACACACACACACACACACACAUAAUUUUAAUAGUUUUAUUUACUUUUGGGGGCGAGUACUAGGGAUUGAACCCAGGCACUCUAGUAACUGAGCUAUAUUCCCAGCCCCUCAUUUAUUUAUCUUUAUGUCAGCUGAGGAUCAAACCCAGUGCCUCACACAUGCUAGGCAGGCCCUGUACCACUGAGCCAUGAUCCCAGCCCCCCAGGAUAUUUCUUUAGGUAAAUUCCCAGAAAUUAGAAUUACUGGGUCAAGGGUUAGGGGGAUACAUCAGUGGCAGACCACCUGCCUAGCAUGUGCAAGGUUUUGGGUUCAACCUCUAGUACCAUUAAAAAAAAAAGAAAAGAAGAAAAAAGGAACAGUAAAAGGACUUUGAAUCAUCUUAAAAUGUUUUGAAUUAUUUUCCAAAAUAUUCUAUACAUAUCACCUGUGUGGUUUUUUUUUUUUUUUGGAUACCCAGAAUUGCACUCAGGAGUACCUAGCCACUGAGCCAUAUCCCCAGUCUUUUUUUUACCGUUUUAUUUAUUUUUUAUUUUUUGGUACUGGGUAUUGAACUCAGGGGGCACUUAACCACUGAUCCACAUGUCCAGCCCUAUUUUGUAUUUUAGUUAGAGAAAGGGUUGCACUGAGUUUGCCUAGCGCCUCAGUUUUUCAGAGACUGGCUUUGAACUCACGAUCCUCCUGCCUCAGGCUCUGGAAUUAAAGGUGUGCACCAUGUUGCCAGGCACCUUUUUAUUUAUUUUGAGACUAAGUUGCUCAGGGCCUUGCUAAAUUGCUAAGUUGGUCAGGGCCUUGCUAAAUUGUUUACUAAGGCUGUCCUUGAACUUGAGAUCCUCUUGCCUCAGCCUCCCAAGAGGAUUAUAGGCAUGCACCAGCACGUCUGUCUUUUUUCAUAAAAUUUUUUUUUUUUAAAUCAGGUAAAAGUAUAUAGUUUGUUUACAUCUCAUUUUCUUUUUCUAUGUUUUUAUGUUGCAUACAUUUAGGUAAAUGAUCUCCGAAAAGAAUUAGAAAGUCGAGCCCUUAGUUCCAAAGGAUUAAAAUCCCAGUUAAUAGCUCGAUUGACAAAACAACUUAAAGUAGAAGAACAAAAAGAAGAACAGAAGGAAUUAGAGAAAUCUGAAAAAGAAGAGGAAGAAGAGGAUGAUAGGAAAUCUGAAGAUGAUAAGGAGGUAUUUAUUCAGCAUUUGAAUAUAGUUGUAUUGGUAUUUCUCUUAGUAUGUUGGGUGUUCGUGGAAUAUAUGACUUCACUUUGUGUGUGUGUGUGUGUAUUGUUUUAUUAAGGUAUGUAAGGUAAAAGUAGAAUUUUUUCCCACAGUUGCUUUACCACUGAGCUAAAUCCCACAAUUCUUUUUAUUUUUAUUUUAUUUUAUUUUUUUAAGUUUCAUUUAAAAUUUUUUUUUUUUUAAGUUAUCUAUGGACUUAAUGCCUUUAUUUGUUUUUAUGUGGUGCUAGGAUCAAACCCAGCGCCUCACACUUGGGAAGCAAUGCUCUACCACUAAGCUUACAACUCCAGCCCCCCUUUUUAUUUUUUGAGACCGGGUUUUUUCACUAAUGAGCUGAAGGUGUCCCUAAGUUGUUGAGGCUGACCUCGAACUUGUACUCCUGCCUCAGGCUUCUAUGUAGCUGGGAUUACAGGCAUGUGCCACUGCACCUAUCUAAAAAUUCAUACCUGUAAUGAAUAGUUCUGCAAUUUUUUAAAAUUAUUCUAAUUAGUUAUACAUGACAGUAGAAUGCAUUUUUUUAAAAAAUAUUUUUUAGUUAUAGUUGGGCAUAGUACCUUUAAUUUUUAUUUGUUUAUUUUUAUGUGAUGCUGAGGAUCGAACCUAGCUCCUCGCAUGUGCUAGGCGAUCGCUCUACCGCUGAGCCACAACCACAGCCCCUAGAAUGCAUUUUGACAUAUGAUACAUAUAUGGAGUAUAACUUCUCAUUCUUGUUGUACAUGGUAUAGAAUCAUACCAAUCAUUUAAUCAUAUGUACAUUCGGUAAUAAUGUCCGAUUCAUUGAACUAUCCUUCCUACUUCUAUACCCUGUCUCCUCUCUUCACUCCCCUCUGCCUAUCCAAAGCUGUUCUUCCCUAACCCCCUGCCCUCAUUGUGAAUUAGUAUCCACUUAUCAGGAAAAAACAAAAACAAAAACAAAAACAUUCAGCUUGAGUUCCAAUGAAAUGCUCAUGCCCUAAUUGUGAUGCUUCUAAAGUAAUAUGUUUGAUUGGAUUCUACUCAAGAAUAGACAAAUUAUUCAAGCUAUUUUGUACCUCAGUUUUAUAUCUAAUACAUUUAUUCCUUAGUGCAUAAGCUUAUUGUGUUCUCUGAAUUUGAGAGCUAGUGUGUUUUAGCCCCAGUAAUUGGAUAAACCCUUAGGGUUUUUAAAUGUGAUGUAUUAUAAAAUACCCAUCCACAAUUCCUAAAGUAGUUCUUCGAGAAGUAUGUGACAUAGAUCAAAUUGUAAGGAAAACAAUUGGGUAAAUCUGAAAAGUGAAAAAAAUUUUAUAAAGCAAGUUGUGUGAACUUUUCAGAAUGUAUCCACAUUAAAGAAAGAAACUUAGGAGCUGUCUUAGAUUGAAGAAGGUUAGUGAAUGUGACUGGAUCUGGGCUAGGGAAAAAAUGUCAUUAAGAAUGGUAUAUGGGCUGGGGAUGUGGCUCAAUCGGUAGUAGCGCUCUCGCCUGGCAUGCGUGCAGCCCAGGUUCGAUCCUCAGCACCAUAUACAAACAAAGAUGUUGUGUCUGCCGAAAACUAAAAAAUAAAUAUUAAAAUUCUCUCUCUCUCUCUCAAAAAAAAAAAAAAGACUGGUAUAAUUGGAGCCAGGUGUGAUGGCACAUACCUGUAAUCCCAAUGGCUCAGGAGGCUAAGGCAGGAAUCAGAGUUCAAAGCCAGCCUCAGCAAAAAGUGAGGCGCUAAGCAGCUCAGUGAGAUCCCGUCUCUAAAUAAAAUACAAAAUAGGGCUGGAGAUGUGGCUCAGUGGUUGAGUGUCCCUGAGUUCAAUUCCCAGUACUGGGGGGAAAAAAAAGAACAGUAUAAUUGGAGAAAUUUGAUUGUAUAUGUAGUUGUUACAUUAGAUAUUAUUGAAGUUUUAUUAAAUUUUGUGGAUGUGAUAAUGGUUUUGUGAUUAUGUAGGAGAAUUACCUUUUUUUAGACAAUACAUGAACUUGUGAUUUCUUAUCAAUUGGCAGGUAAAGUACUUAUUUUGGUGAUAACAUUUUUUCAGAAUUGACCAGUGGGAACCCUUUUAAGUUAUAUGUCCUUUUGAUAUAUCCUCAUCAUUUUUUGAAGGAUUUCUUACUUUUUGGCCUGAUAGGAUGUUUCAGUCUUAUUGUGUACAUUUCUCACUUUUGGUCUUCAGUCUCUUAUGGUCAGGAACCCAAAGAACCUGGUGUGGUGGUACACACCUGUAAUCCUAUUUACUAGGGAGGCUAAGGCAGGAGAAUUAUAAAUUCAAGGUCAGCCUGUAUAACUUAGUGAGACUGUUUCAAAAUGAAAAAAAUAAUGGGCUAGGAAUAUUGGGUAGUAGAAUGCCCCUGGGUUCAAUCCCCAGUACAGCAAAAAAAAAAAAAAAAAAAAAAAGAUAUCCAAAAGAAAGAAUUCGGACCCACAAAAGCUACUACCCUUAGUAAAUUUGAACUGUUCUCUUUUUUUCAAUCCUUAUAGUUGUUUUGGUCACUCUAAAGAAUUUUAGGUAUUUUGCCGUUUUUCUUUAUAUGGUAUACAUUUUUUGAAUACAUACAUAUUGUACAUGAAGGUUUAAACCAUGAACUAAAAUUUCAAAAUCCAGGAGGAAGAAAGAAAACGUCAAGAGGAAAUGGAACGCCAGCGUCGGGAAAGAAGAUACAUUUUGCCUGAUGAACCAGCCAUCAUUGUGCAUCCAAAUUGGGCUGCAAAAAGUGGCAAGUUUGAUUGUAGCAUCAUGUCUUUGAGUGUCCUUUUGGACUACAGAUUAGAAGAUAAUAAAGAACAUUCAUUUGAGGUAAUGUUUUAUCUUUGAAUCAGGAUCCAGAUAAGGUCCACAUAUUGUGUGUCUCUUAAAUCUCUUUUUCUCCCAGUUGCUAAUUAGGAAAAUCAAUAGUUUAUUCUAUAAAGUUUCAUAUAAAUUACUUUUGUUGAUUUUUUUAAUCCUAUGGUAUAGUAAUACCACUGAAAUAUGCUUGUGUCCUCUGUAUUUUCUAUAAAUUGAUAGUUAGAUCUAAAUUCUUAAUCAAGUUGUGGGCUUUUUUUUUUUUCUUUUAAAAAAGAAAUUUGAACUUUUUGAAGAAUCUGUUGAAAUCCUGAAUAGCUUUAGAACUAUUUAGAUAAGCCCAUGCAUGGUGGUACAUACCUGUAAUCCCAGUAACUCAAGAGGAUUGUAAAUUCAAUGCCAACUUGGGUAAUUUAGCCCUGUCUCAGAAAGAUUAAAAAGGAGAGGACAUGUUGCUCAGUUGCAGAACAGCCCUGGGGUUUGGUCUCCAGUGCUAUAAAUAUUAAAUAAAUAAGUAUAUUUUAGUGUAUAAGUUGAUGAAUAUGUGGUAGCUCUUACCAUGGCUCUCUGCAUAAUAAUAAUAAUGGAUAUUCCAUACUCAGGGUUUUUAAUUGUUUUAAAUGCCUGAAAUGUUCUUCUAGAUAUCUUCAUAAUUCAUUUAUUCAUUGCCUUCUAGUCACUUUUUUGUCGGGUGGAGGGUACUGAAGGUUGAACCCAGGGGUGCUUAACCCACUGAGACACUUCCCCAACCCCUUUUGAAUUUUAUUAGAGACGGGAUCUUGCUGAGUUGCUGAGGCUGGCAUUGAAUUUGCAAUCCUCCUACCACAGCCUCCUAAACUAAUGGGAUUACAGGCCUGUGCCACCAUGCCCAGCUCUCUGGUCACUUUUUAAAUGUCAGAAAGAGACCUUGUCUAACUACUCUUUCUCACUUUCUUUUUAUAAAAUACAUGCUAGGCAAGUGCUUUACCACUGAGUUGCAUCCCAGUCCCUUUAUAUGCUUGUUUUUCUUGUAAUUUGAUAUUAAUUGGGUUAUUUCUUAUACUAGGUUUGUUACCUUUGUGCUGAAAUAAAAUUUUUUUUUUUCUUUUCACUGCUGUAUUCCCAGCCCAUGGUACAUAGUAGGCAUUUGAUUAAAAACUUAUUGACUGGGUCUGUAGUCAUAGCUUAGUAGCAGAGAGCUUACCUAGCAUGUGUGAGGCACUGGGUUUAAUCCUCAGCACUACAUAAAAAUAAAUAAAUUAGCUAAAGGUAUUGUGUCCAUCUACAACUAAAAAAUAUUAAAAAAAAAAAAGUAUUGACCAACCAAUGGAAAUAUAAACAAACCCUUAUAGAAUAAAUAAAGUAUUGUGAAGAUUAAUAGUUUCGUUAGGAGUAUAGAAUUCUUUUUUUCUUUUCAGAUUUUCUAUAGUAGAUUACUUAUUAUAGUAUUUGACUAAAACUGUACUAACCUAAUAUUUUAUAUCUUUGAAACAUUGUUUCAGCAUUUUGAGUCUUUGACAUCAAUUAUUAUAACUAUAUUCUAAAUGUACUUAAUAGAUUCAGCAAAUAUUUAUUAAAAUUACUAACUGCUAGAUUUAAUAUUUCUGUUGCAUUUGUGUUAAUUUUCAUAUCUUUUUAUAGGUUUCAUUGUUUGCAGAACUUUUCAAUGAAAUGCUUCAGAGAGAUUUUGGUGUCAGAAUAUACAAAUCAUUACUCUCUCUUCCUGAGAAAGAGGACAAAAAAGAAAAGGAUAAGAAAAGCAAAAAAGAUGAGAGAAAAGAUAAAAAAGAAGAAAGAGAUGACGAAAAUGAUGAGCCAAAACCCAAACGGAGAAAAUCAGGAGAUGAUAAAGAUAAAAAAGAAGAUAGAGAUGAAAGGAAGGUCUGUAAUUAUUUCCAUAAUUUCUUCUUUUAGAUUGUAACAAAUGAUGUUAUUUCCAUCAGAAUAUUAAAAUAUGAAGCCAAACUUAUACUUUAGAAAAUUUGUCUUUUAAUUAAGCCAAUUCCCCAAACUGCUGAGGGCCUUAAUAAGUUGCUAAAUUGGUCUCCAAUUUGAGAUUCUCCUUCCUCAGCCUCCUGAGUUGCUGGGACUAUAGGCAUGAGCCACCACUCCCAGCUAUUGUUACUCUUAAAUGUAUUACUUUAUGGAUGCUGUGGUUAUGGCUCAGUAGUAGAAUGCUUGCCUGGCAUGUGUGAGGCACCACAUAAAAAUAAUUAAUUAAAUAGAGAUAUGAUGUCCAUUAUACAACUAAAAUAAAAAAGCAUUCCUUUUUUAAGAAAUUUGUAGUUUGAAACUAUUUUAAGUAAAUACCUUUUUUUGGUGAUGCUGGGAUUAAAACCCAGCGCGUUGCACACAUGCUAGGCAAAUGCCCUACCUCAGCUACAUCCCCAGUCCUUUAAAUAAAUAAAUGUAAUGGACUUAAUGUUUUCUUAUUAAAUUUUAAAUUACAGAAAGAAGAUAAAAGGAAAGAUGAUUCUAAAGAUGAUGAUGAAACUGAAGAAGAUAAUAAUCAUGAUGAAUAUGACCCAAUGGAAGCAGAAGAAGCUGAGGAUGAAGAAGAUGGUAUGAUUCAAAUUUUCUUAUUACUGAUUAUGUUUGAAAAAACAUUUGUUUGCUGACUUUGUAUCAGUGAAAUCUAUGAUUUUAAUAUUUUUUAUUAGAAAGUUAAAAUAUUCUCUAAUGAAAAUAUAUUAAGUAAUUGUUGUUUACUAAUUUUUAGGUGAGAAGGCUAUAUUUUGGUGCUUUUGGUUUUUUAUUUUUUAUACUACUGGUAAUUGAACCCAAGGUCUACAAAAGCUCCACAAGUGCUCUAACCAUUGAACUGACAGGGUCUUGCUAAUUUUCACAGACUGGACUUGAACUUGAAAUCCUCCUGCCUCAGCCUCCCAAGUAGCUGGGAUUACAGGUGUACACAUAUGCCCAGCCAGAAUAUAUUCUUCGAAAAAUAAUUUGGUUUAUUUUUAUUUUUUAAGUGAAUACUAUCAUCAUGCAAUGAGUAUAUAUUUAUGGUUUAAAUACUAUUAAUAAUAAUUACCCAUGGUACCUAUUAACCUAUGUCUUAAAAACCAUGUAGGGGCGGGCUAAGGUUGUGGUAGAGCACCUGCAAGAAAGGGUCUUGCGGAGUUGCUUAGGGUCUUUCUAAGUCGCUGAGGCUGGGUUUUCAAUACACCUGCCUCAGCUUUUCAAGUUGCCGGGAUUACAGGCAUGUGCCACCAUGUCUGGCUGACACUCUAAAUACUUUCUAGUUGGGCUGGGGGUGUGGCUCAAGCGGUAGCGCGCUCGCCUGGCAUGCGUGCGGCCCGGGUUCGAUCCUCAGCACCACAUACAAACAAAGAUGUUGUGUCCGCCGAGAAUUAAAAUAAAUAAAUAAAUAUUUUAAAUAAAUAAAUAAAUAAAUACUUUCUAGUAAACAUUCUGAUCAGUAAUAGAUGUUGGCCAUAAAGUAUCUCUGUGUAAUGCCUUACCCAUAUCUCUUUAUGUUGAUGUGACUUGAGAAUUUUGUCUUUUUCUCAUAUCAGAAAACUAAAAACUUUUUUUUUUUAUUAACUGUAUCUAUGGAUGAUACUUCUUAUUAUUAAAGGUUAUUUUGGUUUGCAGCUUUUGGGUUUUUUGGUAGUGGGGAUUUAACCCAGGGGCGCUUUACCACUGGGCUACAUCCUCAGUCCUUUAUUAUAUAUAUGUAUUUUUUAUUAUGAGACAAAGUCUCAAAGUUCCUGAGGACCUUACUGAGUUGCCAGGGCUCACUGUGAACUUGAUAUCCUCCUAUCUCCACCUCCCCAGUUGCUGGGAUUGUGGGCAUGUGCCACCCUGACUGGAUCAUCACAUUUUCUUCUCAUGUCAUUUCAUUUUUCUUAUUGAUGAAAAUAUUCACAUAAAAUGUUGAGGGGGCUGGGAAUAUAGUUCAGUUGGUAGAGUGCUUGCCUCACAUGCACAAGGCUCUGGGUUCAAUCCCCAGCACCAAAAAAAUAAAUAAAAUGUUGAGAGAAUUGUACAGUGAACACCCAUAUGUCUUCCAAUUAGGAUUUAAUAUUCAUUAAUAUUUGACUUAUUUGUUUUGUCUUUUUUCUGAUCCAUUUGAAAGUAUGAAUUCUUCAACUUACUUGGGAGGCUGUGGAAGGAGGAUCACAAGUUUGAGGCUAGCAUUAGCAAGUUAGUCCCUAAAACUUAAUGAAACCUUUUCGCAAAAUAAAAAACAUAAAGGAGAUGUAGCUCCAUUGUAAUGUGCUCCUGGGUUCAGUUCCCAGUACCAAGAAAAAAAAAAGCUUAGGAAAGAAAGGACAUACUUAAUCCCACAAUCAUACCUUUAUUAUGCAAUAAUGCCUUAAUAACACUUAAUACCUGUUUUUUCUUUGCCCUAAUAAUAGCAAUGAGAUGAUACACAUACACCAAUUUUGCUUCAUAUCUCUUCUGUUGUUACAUGGCGCAGUGCAAACUUAGCCCUAUUACAGCCAUAUUUCCUCCCCAUAUUGUUUUUUUUUUUUUUUUUAAAGAGAGAGAGAGAGGGAGAGAGAGAGAAUUUUUUUAGUAUUUAUUCUUUAGAUUUCGGCGGACACAACAUCUUUGUUUGUAUGUGAUGCUGAGGAUCGAACCUGGGCCGCACGCAUGCCAAGCGAGCGCGCUACCGCUUGAGCCACAUCCCCAGCCCCCAUAUUGUUUUUUGUUGUUGUUGUUUGUUUGUUUAUUUUGGGGGGGCAGGGGUUACUAGGGAUUGAACUCAAGGGCACUGGACCACUAAGCCACAUCCCCAGCCCUAUUUUAUAUUUUAUUUAGAGACAGGGUUGCUAAACACGUUGCUUUUGCUGAGACUGGUUUUGAACUAACCAUCUUCCUGUCUCAGCCUCCCAAGCACUGGGAUGUAGGUGUGUGCUACCUCACUCAGCUCCAAGUCCAGUGUUUUUUUUGUUGUUGUUUUGUUUUUUUAAGGUACUGGGGAUUGAACUCGGGGCCACUCAACCACUGAGCCACAUCCCCAGCCUUAUUUUCUAUUUUAUUUAGAAACAGGGUCUCAGUGAGUUGCUUAUUGCUUCACAGUUGCUGAGGCUGGCUUUGAACUUGCGAUUCUCCUAUCUCAGCCUCCCAUGCCACUGGGAUUACAGGUGUGUGCCAUUACGUCUGGCUACAAGUCCAAUUUUUAUCAUACCAAUUUUUAUAAAAUACAUAUUAGUUUCAGAAAAAUUAGAUUUAAUUAAGAGUUAGUCAUAUUUUUUUCUUUUUUUUUUUAAUUGUUAAAUUUUUCCCCCUUACAAUAGCCUCUAAAUUUGUAGGUCCACCCCAUACUGGUCCUAAAAGAUCUCUUGGAUUCUGUAAUGCCUCCUCUAAACACAGCUGUCUGCCUGAGCAGAUUUUUUUUUUUCAAAGCUCUGUUGUCCUCUGGUGGAUGAUUGACGAAUUGCAUUGUCCACUCUUCCACUUUUGGAGAUUUAGUUUCAUCUGAAGCCUGCAAUACCCUUUCACCGUUCCUAUGUUUAAAACUUUUUGUAAAUCCAAUUUGAGGGUCCCACUUAACGCUUUGAGAGUCUAUCUACUGCUGAAGAUUUUGUCCAGUUCAUGAUUUCAAACUGACUCCACCCCAUCUCCUUGUGGACAAAUUUGAUCUCGUUCUCUGGAGUCAUUAACUUGAAAUUGAAUGCUGUAGUAAAUUCUGCUGCAACCAAUGUCCAGCCUUCAACAGUGCAACACUUAUUAAAGGAAGUCUCAUAAUUCUCGUUGUUUUGUGUAAACAUAGAUAACGCCACUCCAUCCUCUGGAGUUCCUAGUGCUUUUACAGCACUCAGAUUGGAUCCUGAAGAGAAGGUAUUUUUUGGGGAUGUGGCUCAAGGGGUAGCGUGCUCGCCUGGCAUGUGUGCGGCCCAGGUUCGAUCCUCAGCACCACAUACAAACAGAGAAGGUAUUUUUUGUCCCACAGAUAAUGAGGCUUUUCCCUUCCAUCCAGUUUUCCAACUCACUUGCAAAUAUUGUAGCAUCAUAAAUCUCAAAAGGCAUUAAUUUCAGUGGUAUUGUUCAGAGUAACAAUGCCAAGUCCAUUUUCUUCCUUUUGCAGAUCCAACAUAUCUACCAGGAAACCACUAAAGCAUCACUUCUUCAUGAAAGCCAUGAGAUGUAAUAAAGUGAUACUGCCCCUCAGUGUAGUAGUUUUGUCCUUACAGAGAUGAUGGCUUCAAAAGACUUAUUAUUUUUAAGUUGGAACAAGGCUUUAAAGGUUUUCAGAAAUCAAAUAAGUGCUUUGAAGUUAGGCCUUUUUAUACUUUAAAAAAAUGUUAAAUGUGGUAUUUCUCCACCUUCCCUGAAAAGUUUUUCAGCACCCUCCUGUACCUCUGUAUAAACCACUCCUUUCCCAUUCCCAGGAGGGUACAUUGGGCUUCAGCUGCCAUCUAGCUGGGAAGCCUGGAGGCUCUCUGUGUGAGGGUCACUGGGAAAGGUGCUAACAUCCAUUCCACAACCACCUUCUGGGAUUCUCUUCCUUAUGACGCUUUUAAAAGUUAUGACCAGCUCUUAAAUAGAGCCCUGGAGGUCUCUGGGGUGACUUCCCUUUCUGCUUUCCUCGAUCAUCUUAAUUAAAAACAUCUCAGUUUCUCAUGUAGUUUUUCCUUUUGGGUUCUAGAAAAUAUACUUCACCUUGUUUGCUCAAGUUUGUGUUAUGUUUUUCAAUUUUAUCUAUAGAGUUAAUUUUAUCUUUUGAAAUAUAUCCUUCAGAUAUUUGUAAAAUUAAGGCCAUUUAAUUGAUUUAAUAAAGUCAGUUUGGUGCUGAUAGUGACAAGAAUGCUUGCCUGUCAUAUGCAAGGCCCUCAGCAUUGCAAAAAGAAAUAAUGAAAUCAAUUUGUCCCUCUAGUUUUUCUCCCAUCCCCAGUAGUGGGGAUUGAAUUCAGGGGUCUCUACAAGUAAACUACAUCCUCAGCCCUUUUUCUUGUUUGGAGAAAGGGUCUCACUAAAUCAUCUAUGCUACCCUCAACUUUAUAAUCCUCUUGUCUCAGUUUUCCAAGUGAGAUUACAUUCAUGUACCAUUGUGCCUGAUCACCCGAUAUAUUCUUCCUCUUAUUUUUUGUAAUUUUUUUUUCACAUCUACACUAUUUUUAUUUAUAUAUUUAUUUGAUUAAUUUGAAAAUUUGUUCUGUAGUGGAGGAAUAGUAUUUUUUUUGUUUGUUUGUUUGUUUUCUGUGGUGCUGGGGAUUGAACCCAGGGCCUUGUACAUGCAAGGCAAGCACUUUACCAACUGAGCUAUAUCCCCAGCCCAUGGAGAAAUAGUUUGUUUCUACAGUAGUUAAAAAUAUCUCUGUUAAUGAGUUUUUGCUGCUCUUACAUUUAUUUUUAUAGAUCGGGAUGAGGAAGAAAUGAACAAACGGGAUGACAAAAGAGAGAUCAACAGAUACUGCAAGGAAAGGCCUUCUAAAGAUAAGGUAUUUAUUGAAUAUUGUAUUCUUUAUAAUGUGAUGAUUUGUAUAUUUUACAUAAUUAAAUUUGAUUUUAAAAUAUAUCACAGUCAUGAAGUUUAUUAGUCUUCAUAUGCCUACAUACAACCACUUAGCAAAAUGCAGUUGAUGGGUUUUUGGUAUUUGGGACUGUCAUAUAACCAUUUUGUUUGAUUUUCUUUCUCUCAUAUUCAUAUAACAAAUGAACUUAUUUUAUUAGGAUGAAAUAAUGAUCUUUUAAGAUUGUUGCUAUUAUACUGACAUAAUUUCUUGUUUUUCAAUUGGAAAAAAGUAUAUACUAUCUUUUAUUUCUGUAUUUUUUUUAGGAAAAAGAAAAAACUCAGAUGAUCACAAUUAACAGGGAUCUAUUAAUGGCCUUUGUUUAUUUUGAUCAAAGCCAUUGUGGUUACCUUCUUGAAAAGGAUUUGGAAGAGAUACUCUAUACUCUUGGAUUACAUCUUUCUCGGGCUCAGGUAAUCUAUUCUGUGAAUUUAAAAUAAAAACCGUUUUUAUUACCAUUUUUUUUUUCUCCCUGUGCUGGGGAUAGAACCCAGGACUUGCUAAUGCAAGUGCUUUAGCACUGAAACUGCCUCUCCUGUAACUUUUCAAGAAGUUACUUUUUUUUGGUACCAGGGAUUGAACCCAGGGGUGCUUAACCAGUAAGUCACACCCCCAGCCUCCAGCCCUUUUUAUUUUUAUAUUGAGAUAGGGUCUCACUAAGUUGUUUAAGGCCUCACUAAGUUGCUGAGGUUGGCACUAAAUGGCCUCAGCCUCUUCAGUGAAUGGGAUUACAGGUGUGUAUCACCACGUUUGGCUAAGAAGUUACUUUUCAAAGAAAAUAUAAAUAGAAUAAGUUAAUGUAUUCAAUUCCAUAGGUAGGUGCUCAUUUUUUUUUACAUCUCUAUUGACUUUUUCAUUUAAAAGAAACAUAAUAGAUAUAAAUUGUAAGAGUCAAGCAAUACUGAAAUUUAUAAAGUAAAAAGGUUAAAAGCCCCUCUUUGCUCUUCUACUCCUCAGGUCCAGCACAUAACCUUCUAGAUUUUUUUGUAAUCAACUGUUUCAUUUUUAUAAACAUAAUAUGAAAUUAUGUUAUACAUAUUGAUGGAACUCUUUUAAAAUUUUCUAAUAUAUCCUGGACAUUUGUACCAUGAAAAUUCAGAUCUCAUUCUCAUAGCUGCAUAGUAUUCCAUUAUAUAGAUGUAUCAUUUAUGUAACUACUCCCUUAUUGCUUAUGGUUUUCAUAUUUUGGAAUUAUAAACUUAUGCUGUAAUAGACACCCCUUGUUACAUUUAUUUUAAUAUAUAUGUUAGUGUUUCUAAUAGUGUUACAAUUUUUUUUUUAAAUACUACGUUUUUUUAAAAGAAUAUUUUUAAAAUUUUUUGUUCAAUUUAAAACAUAUUUAUAUUUAUGUAUUUGACUUUGGGAGGAAAAAUUAAGUAGGGUUCACAAAAUUUUGAAGUAAAUUUGGAGAUUUUAGCAAGUGAUAAAAUAUCUACAAAAGUGUCCUGUGUCACAGUAUAUAUCUAAUAGCUCCAUAAAACAAAAACUUACAUUUCAGGCCAGGAAUUUUUAGGUUUCACCUCUUGCCAAUGUUUUUUCCCCCUCUAACUGGUGUAGUGUUACAAUUUUUAACAAUUAAAUUUAUUUUUCAAAUAUAACUUGGAUGUGAUUGAGUAGGAAUGGAUACCUGAGAAAGCAGUUUCCACAGAUGUUCUUCAUUUCUAAAAAUUAGAACACAGUUGUUCAAGGAAAAUCAAAACACAUUUUCAUCUUUUUAAUGUGUUUACUUGCUUAUAUUAUAGGUAAAGAAGCUUCUUAAUAAAGUAGUUCUCCGUGAAUCUUGCUUUUAUCGGAAAUUAACAGACACUUCAAAAGAUGAAGAAAACCAUGAAGAGUCUGAAUCAUUGCAGGAAGAUAUGUUAGGUUUGAGUAUAUUGAAAUCUUGCGUUUUUAUAAAUAUUCAUUAGUUUAAAAAAAAAAAUCUUACUAAAGUGUAUUGUCUUUUAUUAUAGGAAAUAGGUUGUUACUGCCAACACCAACAGUAAAGCAGGAAUCAAAGGAUGUGGAAGAAAAUGUAGGACUCAUUGUGUACAAUGGUGCAAUGGUUGAUGUAGGAAGCCUUUUGCAAAAAUUGGAAAAGAGUGAAAAAGUAAGGGCUGAAGUAGAACAGAAGCUGCAGUUACUAGAAGAAAAAACAGGUGAGGGACAAUAUGAAUAUGUUAGUACUUUUAAAGCUCUGUUUGUGUGUGUGUGCACGCACACACAUACCUCACAUUUUGCUUUGGACAGUGUAUAACUCUACUUUCAUCUGUUUCUAUUGGAGACAAUAAAAUCACUUAGUUUUGUAAGAAUUUUUCUUGUUCAAUGGGGUGUAGUGGGGCAUGCCUAUAACUAGAGAGGCCACUGUAGGAGGAUCACAAAUUUGAAGGCAGCUUAACAAGACCCUGUCUCAAAAGUAAAAAGGGCUGGGGAGGUAUCUUGGUGGAUAUUAGUUGUUCAUUCUCAGGUUCACUUGAUAUUCUGUUCUAUCCUUUCAGACCUCUGCUAGUUCCACUUACUUUUUAUUGGUUCCUAUUUUUGCUAGUUUGUUGCAGUCAUCUAAAAAUUGAAACUGGGUUUAGAAAUACUAGUAACUAAAACUUAAUUUCAAUAAAAACAGUAUUGCAUUGUGCUUUAGGUAACUAAUGAAGUUGGUAUUUAUGGGCAUUUUAAAGAAUUGCAUCUGCUUUUUAUUUUCAUAGCUUAAGUAUUUUUAACCUCAAGCUAUACUGGAAAUUAUAGGGGUUCAAGAGGUUUGUUUUGGACUUUUUUUUUUUAAUAGAUGAAGAUGAAAAAACCAUAUUAAAUUUGGAGAAUUCCAACAAAAGCCUCUCUGGUGAACUCAAAGAAGUUAAAAAGGACCUUAGUCAAUUACAGGAAAACUUAAAGGUUUCAGAAAACAUGAAUUUGCAAUUUGAAAACCAACUGAAUAAGACAAUCAGAAACUUGUCUACAGUAAUGGAUGAAAUCCACACUGUUCUCAGAAAGGUUUGAAAUUUUAUACUUUCAACAUUUUCAGAGUUUAUUUAAAUUUUAAAAACUAUUCAUAGCAUUUUUAAUGUACUUUAAUGUUAUUUUGCUCUUUGUAAAAGCUUUUCCUAGAAGCAAAUGAUAGCAUUCCAUCUUCUUGAAACUAGUCAAAAGUAAUUCCCCAAAGAUUAUAUUUUUCUAAAAUUUAAUGAUGAAUGUCAGUAUGGUUUAUGUGUACAGAUUUUUUUUGAGGUUGACCCCAAAUUUAUUUUUUUAUUCACACAGAUUUCAGAUAUGUUAUUGUAUUUAAUCAUCACAGUAUCCCUAUUAGUUAAGCAUUGUUUUAUUUUUUUUAAAUACACGACAGCAGAAUGCAUUUACAAUUCUUAUUACACAUAUAGAGCACAAUUUUUCAUAUCUUUGUAUAUAAAAUAUGUUCACACCUGUGUGUACAGAUUGUCUGAAGCAAAUGUUGAACUGGAGAUGUGGCUCAGUGAUAGAGUGUAUGCCUAGCAUUAUGUGAGGCCCUGUGAUUAGUCCCUAGCACCACAAAAUUUAUUUGUAUUUCUUUCUAAACCAAAGAGUAUUUUUGAAGUAAGAUAUGAAAUCAUUUGGUUCUUUUAAACCAUUUAUUGUGAGGCAGAAUUUAAGAAAAUUCUUUGGCAUCAGAUAUUAAUCGCUAUAAAAAUUUUAUAAUUGAAUUACAUUAUAAAAUACCUUCAAAUAACAUGUAAGAAAAUCUAAUAAAAUAUACCUUUUCCUUAUCUAUUAUUUUACAGGAUAAUGUAAAGAAUGAAGACAAAGAUCAGAAAUCUAAGGAGAAUGGUGCAAAUGUAUGAUAAAAUUUGUGUCGUGAUGAAAAAUGCUGUUAAAUAAUGUAAUAUAUAAAAAUCAUGAUACAAGAAUGUUUGAAGGUGAUGCAUGUUUUAGUAGUAUAAAUUCUGUUAGUUCAAAUGGUGUAUAAAGUUUUAUGAAUGUUGAGUCUGCUUUUGAAAAUUGCUUGUAAUUUCUAGCAUUCAAAUUAUUAAACACUCCUUGAGUGAAAUAAUUUUGCAUUGCAAAAUGUUUUAGGAUGAACUUUGUUAUAGUUUUAACCCCAAUAAAGUUCAUCAAUUUACUUGACAGUAGUAUUUAAUUACCAAAUGUCUUUUAUUAAAAUGCCUAAAUUUUUUUUUGUUUUUUAUGCAUAAAAGUUUUUUAUUUUAUUUAUAGAAUUAUCAUUAUUUACCUUUUAAUUUUGUAGUCCAUCUUUUAAAACUUCACUAUAAAUCAUAAAAUAGCAAGCUGCUUACUUUUUGGACCAGAAAUAUUUUUACUCUUCACCAAAAAUCCCCUCUAGUUAUCAAUAUCUAAAAACAUUGUUAAAAAUUCAGUUCACCCAAAAGACAGUUCAUUAAGAACUAAGAAAGCAGUAGACAACUGGUGUUGGUAUUUUGUUUGUUAGGCUUUACGUAAAAUUCAUAGACCUGAUGUUAAUGUUAACUGUUAACUGCUUUCAAUUAAUUGUUCUACUUUCCCAGAGUAGCACUUCUAUUACUUUUAAUUAUGAGGGUUUCUUUUUAAAAAAUUCAGUGUAUGUCAAAUGUACAGUUUAGUACCAAACCAAUAGAUGUCAGUAUGAUGCCUUAAGUUAAAUUUUUAAUUAAAAAUAAUUUUUUUUUCUUAGUCUGUGUAUGUACUUAAGAGUUUCAGAGGUGUUUAAGAGUUCAUGUAACUGUUGAGUGAAAAAAAGAAGGAAAUGUGAUGUACUCUGCAACAGUGGUUUUCAACAGGAUGUGAAUUUAUCCUUCAGAGGGCAUUUGGCAAUGUUUGGAGAUCUUUUUAAGCAAUUGGGUGGGGGGCUACUUGCAUCUAUUUGUUAGAGACUAAGAAUGCUGUAUAGGACAGUCCCCCACAAUGAGGAAUUAUUCAGUCCAAAAUGCCAGUAGUGCCCAAUUUGAAAAAUCCUGCACUUAAGGAAUAUAAGGUUAAACAACAUUUUGUCUUUAUAAAAUUAUACUUAGGGAAAACUUAGCUGAAUCUGUAGAUGAUUAUUUUUUUAUACUUACAAAACUCGAAGUGGAAUGUUUUGCUCUCAUAAAAAUAUAUGUUAUAUUAGAGUUUAUUUCAUUUUGUUUUACUCUUUCAUUUUGAUAGAAUAAUGGCCAGAUAUUCUAAAUAGGUGAAUAUGAGACUUAAUAUGUGACUUAAGUCAAAUGGAAUCCAUAUGGCUCUUACUGAGGUAUGGAUUAAAACUCUUCAAAUUCUUCAAACCACUUUUUGUCUUAAAUUGAUAUUUCUUCUCUUCAGGUCUAGUUGAACCUCUCCAAAGUCACUUUACUUCUUGAGCCAUAAUUAUAUCAUUAAUAUGUAAAUGUUUCUUCAUCGUUGAGAUGAGAUGAAACUGUAUAGGUUUUUUAGUUUGUUUUUUGGUACUAUAGGGAUUUAAACCAGGGUCGGAUUUUAUUUUCUUCUUGAGACAGGAUCUUGCUAGGUUUGCCCAGACUAGCCUCAAAACAUGGAAUCCUCCUGCCUCAGCCUCCCAAGUAGCUGGAAUUACAGGUGUGUGCCUCCAUGCCCAAUAAAUUAUAUGGAGUUUUUUAAAGCAAGCACUUUACCUCAGAGUUAUAUCCCCAGCUCUAUUUUAUUUUGAGACAGGGUCUUAAUACGUUUCCCAGGCUAGCCUUGAACUUAUAGUCCUCAUGCCUCUCCCUCCCAAAUUGCUAGGAUUAUGAGUUGAUAUUGUAGCUUGCCUACCCUGUGAGAAACUCUGGGUUCAACCCCUAGUACUGCAAUAAGAAAAAUGUGGUUUACCAAUCGGCUGAGAUUGCCAUAUGCCACUGCAGCUGAUAGGAAACUUUUAACUAAAAGAUAGUAAUGAUAGAUUUCCUGCAAAAGUAUAUUUUUAAAUGAAAGAUCAGGGCUGGGACAUGGCUUAGUGGUAGGUCACUUGGCUAGCUUACAUGAUGCCCUCAUUUAAAUCUCUAAUAAGAGAGAGAUCAUACAAAGGCCAACUAACAGCUUUUAUUUUUGUACAAUAAAUUUUAAAUAAGCAUAAGGUGGAUAUGAUGGAGGAAGAAUCUAAACCUUCCAAUUUUAUUUUUACUUACAGAUAUAAUUUCUUUUUUAAAAUGUAAUUUUUUAAGACACUAGGGAUUUAAUCCAGGAGUGCCCUACCACUGAGCUACAUCCCUAGCGCAUUUGUAUUUUUCUUUUGAGACAGGAUCUCACUAAAAUUUGACCAGACUGCCAAUUAAGUUUCUUGUAAAUGAGUGUCAUCCCCUGGAGUAACAAAGGGGUAGUCCUAGCAGAAGAGGUAAUUUGUGCUUCUCUUUCUCAAUGAAAUUGAUGAUGAACUGUCACAAGGAACAGUAAAUUACUUGGUAGAAAUAAUUCCGACAUCUCUUUUGUUGUUAAAUUAAAAUUUAAUUUCAUGAUUUGGUGCCAGACUGUUUGGAUAAGCAAAGUGUAGGCCAUGAUGUUUUGAAAAUAUUCAGUGAAGCCAUUAAAUAAAAAUUGAAAAUAACCCAAAGAGUUAAUGUUAUGGGAUAUGUAUCUUUCAGAAUAUUUGGAAUACAUUCUAUAAAAAAUUUGGAGAAAUGGAUAAGGGAAAAGAACUUAGUGUAGACUCAGUUAAAUGAUACUUAAAUCGCUUAUUGGAAUUGAAAAUAUCAGGUGGUUUUGGUAAUAAUCUAAUAAAACAUCUGAUUUUGGAUGACUCCAAUUUUUAUAGGUUUUUUCCUUUCUUUUUUGACACUAGUGAUUGAAUCCAAGUGUACGUAAUAUCUGGGCCACAUCCCUAGCUAGACCUUUUUUAGUUUUUAUUUUGAGACUAAGUUGCUGAUAACUAAUCUCAAACUCGCACUCCUUCUGUCUUAGCCUCCUGAGUCACCAGGAUUACAGGUAUGCACCAGCAGUUUUUUGGGUUUAUAGUUUGUUUUUUACAUAAUUGACCUCAACAGUUAAAAUUGUGUUCCAAAAUUGAAUUCCAAAAGUUGUGUCAAAAAUAAACAGAACUUUAU
rnacentral:lncRNA from 1 species